ACGAUAUGAAGAUAGUGAAUAUUUUAGAUGAUUGUGGAACCAUACCCCGUUUCAAGUUUAAUCUGGUCAAACUAAGAGAUACAGAACAGCACAUGGACAAUGAUUUGCAAUUGAUAGAUGUAAUUGGUUUAAUUGUAUCUGUUGGUUCACACUUGACAAAAGAUUUGCAACUGAUGAUGGUGAACACUUGCGUCAAACUGUUACAAAAAAUAAUGUUUUGCUAGCCUGUGGUAUUUGUGUGAGAAAUUAUAAAGGACCGUCACUUUAUAUUAUUCGAGCAAGCAAAUUGUAUGUCAAUUGCUACUUGAAUUUUGCUCAAUACCUACACUGUUGGUUUGAGAAUGAUAAAUGUGCUCAGAAUUAGUGACGUGGUUGCGGUCAUGCAAUUUUACAAUGUCCCAAGCAUUGUUGAUAUCAAAUGCUAAGAGAAUAUGGAUAUCUGAAUAUGCAAUUAUACCUACGAUACAAUUUGUGAAAACUCGAGAAAAAUUUUGUAU